CUGUGGCUCCGAAGCGUUCCGAUCAGGUGGUGCAGCAAUAUCGGAGAUAGUUUGAGAUAAGCCUCGGGUCUCAGGCGAAACUUUAGAGGAUAAGGGAUGAGUGGGUGGCUUCGGUCUUGCUCUUCCCCGACAAUGAAGGCGAAGAUAAACAUGUAGAAAGCAAAUUAAUUCCUCGUUUGGACGAGAGUUCGAAUCUCUCCAUCUCCACGG
rnacentral:tmRNA from 1 species